CAAAGGAUGGGGUUCUUCAAACCAUUACUUGCAAGUCACUUCUGAGGAUUGUGAAAACAAUCACUCGGGAACGAUCCUUAGUUUCGGGUCUUCGGAGUCUUCGGUUACAGAGACUGGUAAGCAUCAGUCAGGAGAUACAACAAAGAUAAACACUGAUUCAGUUUCUCAAGAACACAAAAACUACCAAGGGUUUCUUCCUCCGCAAGUAAUGCCACCUAAUAAUUAUACUUCUCCUUGGCCUUACCAGUGGAGUCCAACGGGUCCUAAUGCUAGUUUCUACCCUAUCCCCUUAUACUGGGGAUGCACGGUUCCAAUAUGUCCUACCUCAGAGACUUCACCAUGUUUAGGAAAACGGUCAAGGGAUCAUCAAACUGAGGGAGGAAUCAAUAAUACUACAACAACAACUACUACAAGAGCAAGAUUGGUUACAGAAUCACUUAGAACGAAUAGCGAAGCUACCAAGAGCUCGGUGUGGUCUAAGUUACCAACAAAACCCGAGAAGAAAACACAUGGAUUCAGUUUGUUCAAUGGAUUUGACACAAAGGGUAACAGCAACACAAGAAACCUGGUCCCUGAAACUUCUCACAGUCUACAAGCAAACCCUGCAGCGAUGUCUAGAGCUAUGAACUUCAGGGAGAGCAUGCAACAUUAAUCAGAACAAUGAUAUAGCCAUACACUCAUGAACGUAACUGAGAAAGUUGAGUUUAGCUAAUUGUUACCUUGUGGAAGAAGGAAUCACUGUAUAGAUAUUUUGUUGUUUCGAACUAAGAGUAGAUAUAUAGUAUUUUACUGUUGUACACUAAGAGAAAUACUUUUUUUGGAGUUGUAGAUAUUUCUCUCCAUUGUGGUAAUGAAGUUGCAACAUAUAUAAACCUUUUAGGUUUAAUAUCUACGUGAUCUAUCUGAAACUUACAAUUACAUUUUUGCCCUGAUCCCAAGAGAUAAAUAAAUAUUCUCAAUUCCAAUUAUCAUCUCUGGUAAAUGCAUGAAUGUCAGAAGAGCAUGAUGUUUCAGAUUAUUUAGC
rnacentral:lncRNA from 1 species